rnacentral:rRNA from 1 species
UACGUAGGCAGCAAGCGUUGUUCGGAGUUACUGGGCGUAAAGGGUGCGUAGGCGGCUUUUUAAGUCUGGUGUGAAAUCUCCCGGCUCAACUGGGAGGGUGCGCCGGAUACUGAGGGGCUAGAGUGUGGGAGAGGAAAGUGGAAUUCCUGGUGUAGCGGUGAAAUGCGUAGAUAUCGGAAGGAACACCAGUGGCGAAAGCGGCUUCCUGGUCCGACACCGACGUUCAGGCACGAAAGCGUGGGGAGCAAACAGG